UAGGGAAUCUUCGGCAAUGGGGGCAACCCUGACCGAGCAACGCCGCGUGAGUGAAGAAGGUUUUCGGAUCGUAAAGCUCUGUUGUAAGAGAAGUACGUGUGUGAGAGUGGAAAGUUCACACAGUGACGGUAACUUACCAGAAAGGGACGGCUAACUACGUGCCAGCAGCCGCGGUAAUACGUAGGUCCCGAGCGUUGUCCGGAUUUAUUGGGCGUAAAGCGAGCGCAGGCGGUUUAAUAAGUCUGAAGUUAAAGGCAGUGGCUUAACCAUUGUUCGCUUUGGCACCUGUUAACCUUGAGUGCAGAAGGGGAGAGUGGAAUUCCAUGUGUAGCGGUGAAAUGCGUAGAUAUAUGGAGGAACACCGGUGGCGAAAGCGGCUCUCUGGUCUGUAACUGACGCUGAGGCUCGAAAGCGUGGGGAGCAAACAGG
rnacentral:rRNA from 1 species